rnacentral:ncRNA from 2 species
CAGGAUGUCGCCACUGACGGUGUCCUGCGGUCGUUCCGCGGGAUGAAAAGGGAAUGCGGUGCGCCGGUGGAAUAGUCCGGCAAUUCCGCGGCUGCCCCCGCAACUGUAAGCGGAGAGUGCCCCGUCUCGAAACCACUGGCCCCGACGGGGGCCGGGAAGGUGACGGUGGUGCGACGACCCGCGAGCCAGGAGACCUGCCGUCAUUCGCGGUCACGG